UACGUAGGGCGCAAGCGUUGUCCGGAAUUAUUGGGCGUAAAGAGCUCGUAGGUGGUGUGUCGCGUCUGCCGUGAAAGCCCGGGGCUUAACUCCGGGUCUGCGGUGGAUACGGGCAGACUAGAGGCAGGUAGGGGAGAACGGAAUUCCCGGUGUAGCGGUGAAAUGCGCAGAUAUCGGGAGGAACACCGGUGGCGAAGGCGGUUCUCUGGACCACAACUGACGCUGAGGCGCGAAAGCUAGGGGAGCAAACAGG
rnacentral:rRNA from 1 species